rnacentral:piRNA from 1 species
CCCUGAGAACUACAUUCAUAGAC